GACAAGCAAAAUUUGCUUUCUAUUUCUUUCCAUUCUCUCUCUUUCUAUCUUUUCGCCUUCACUCUCCAUCAGUCUCUGUUUCUCUCUCUUUCUCUAAUAAGCAGAGGUUUGCUGCUGAGGGCAGGCAGGGCAGUGCAGAUGAAAGAAAAGAGAAGACAAGCACUCAGAGAGAAAGACAGCAAGAAAGAGAGCAGCGAGUGUUCUCUCUCCCAUCUGCCUGGUUACCUGCACUCUUGCCUGAUUACUGACGCACCUGCCUUCCAUCAGCUCAUCAACCCAGAAGUACUUCAAACCUGGUCAUUCAUCUACUCAUCAUCAUUGUUCCUACCAGCUUGACUCUCAGUCAGCCAUGCUCAUAGCCAGCCACUCUGUGCUCUGGCCCUGUAUGCCUGCUACUCUGCAUUACCUGCUCUGCUCUGGCCAUUCCCGUUUUCCCGUUCCAUCACCCUGUCUCCAUAUCCAU